rnacentral:rRNA from 1 species
GACGAACGCUGGCGGCGUGCUUAACACAUGCAAGUCGAACGGAAAGGCCCUGCUUUUGUGGGGUGCUCGAGUGGCGAACGGGUGAGUAACACGUGAGUAACCUGCCCUUGACUUUGGGAUAACUUCAGGAAACUGGGGCUAAUACCGGAUAGGAGCUCCUGCUGCAUGGUGGGGGUUGGAAAGUUUCGGCGGUUGGGGAUGGACUCGCGGCUUAUCAGCUUGUUGGUGGGGUAGUGGCUUACCAAGGCUUUGACGGGUAGCCGGCCUGAGAGGGUGACCGGCCACAUUGGGACUGAGAUACGGCCCAGACUCCUACGGGAGGCAGCAGUGGGGAAUAUUGCACAAUGGGCGGAAGCCUGAUGCAGCAACGCCGCGUGCGGGAUGACGGCCUUCGGGUUGUAAACCGCUUUCGCCUGUGACGAAGCGUGAGUGACGGUAAUGGGUAAAGAAGCACCGGCUAACUACGUGCCAGCAGCCGCGGUGAUACGUAGGGUGCGAGCGUUGUCCGGAUUUAUUGGGCGUAAAGGGCUCGUAGGUGGUUGAUCGCGUCGGAAGUGUAAUCUUGGGGCUUAACCCUGAGCGUGCUUUCGAUACGGGUUGACUUGAGGAAGGUAGGGGAGAGUGGAAUUCCUGGUGGAGCGGUGGAAUGCGCUGAUAUCAGGAGGAACACCAGUGGCGAAGGCGGUUCUCUGGGCCUUUCCUGACGCUGAGGAGCGAAAGCGUGGGGAGCGAACAGGCUUAGAUACCCUGGUAGUCCACGCUGUAAACGGUGGGUACUAGGUGUGGGGUCCAUUCCACGGGUUCCGUGCCGUAGCUAACGCUUUAAGUACCCCGCCUGGGGAGUACGGCCGCAAGGCUAAAACUCAAAGGAAUUGACGGGGCCCCGCACAAGCGGCGGAGCAUGCGGAUUAAUUCGAUGCAACGCGUAGAACCUUACCUGGGUUUGACAUGGAUCGGGAGUGCUCAGAGAUGGGUGUGCCUCCUUUGGGGUCGGUUCACAGGUGGUGCAUGGCUGUCGUCAGCUCGUGUCGUGAGAUGUUGGGUUAAGUCCCGCAACGAGCGCAACCCUUGUUCACUGUUGCCAGCACGUUAUGGUGGGGACUCAGUGGAGACCGCCGGGGUCAACUCGGAGGAAGGUGGGGAUGACGUCAAGUCAUCAUGCCCCUUAUGUCCAGGGCUUCACGCAUGCUACAAUGGCUGGUACAGAGAGUGGCGAGCCUGUGAGGGUGAGCGAAUCUCGGAAAGCCGGUCUCAGUUCGGAUUGGGGUCUGCAACUCGACCUCAUGAAGUCGGAGUCGCUAGUAAUCGCAGAUCAGCAACGCUGCGGUGAAUACGUUCCCGGGGCU